rnacentral:rRNA from 1 species
AUACGGAGGAUGCAAGCGUUAUCCGGAUUUAUUGGGUUUAAAGGGUGCGUAGGCGGUUUGCUAAGCGGGAGGUGAAAUGCCGGCGCUCAACGUCGGAAGUGCCUCCCGAACUGGUGGACUUGAAUGACUCUGCCGUGGGAGGAAUGUGUAGUGUAGCGGUGAAAUGCUUAGAGAUUACACAGAACACCGAUUGCGAAGGCAUCUCACGAAGGGUUGAUUGACGCUGAGGCACGAAAGCGUGGGGAUCAAACAGGAUUAGAUACCCUGGUAGUCCACGCAGUAAACGAUGAUGGCUAACCGCUGGGCUUAUCAGUUCAGUGGCCAAGCGAAAGCGAUAAGCCAUCCACCUGGGGAGUACGACCGCAAGGUUGAAACUCAAAUGAAUUGACG